rnacentral:rRNA from 1 species
GAUGAACGCUGGCGGCGUGCCUAAUACAUGCAAGUCGAGCGAACGGACGAGAAGCUUGCUUCUCUGAUGUUAGCGGCGGACGGGUGAGUAACACGUGGAUAACCUACCUAUAAGACUGGGAUAACUUCGGGAAACCGGAGCUAAUACCGGAUAAUAUUUUGAACCGCAUGGUUCAAAAGUGAAAGACGGUCUUGCUGUCACUUAUAGAUGGAUCCGCGCUGCAUUAGCUAGUUGGUAAGGUAACGGCUUACCAAGGCAACGAUGCAUAGCCGACCUGAGAGGGUGAUCGGCCACACUGGAACUGGACACGGUCCAGACUCCUACGGGAGGCAGCAGUAGGGAAUCUUCCGCAAUGGGCGAAAGCCUGACGGAGCAACGCCGCGUGAGUGAUGAAGGUCUUCGGAUCGUAAAACUCUGUUAUUAGGGAAGAACAUAUGUGUAAGUAACUGUGCACAUCUUGACGGUACCUAAUCAGAAAGCCACGGCUAACUACGUG